rnacentral:rRNA from 1 species
UACGGAGGGGGCUAGCGUUAUUCGGAAUUACUGGGCGUAAAGGGCGCGUAGGCGGCCUUCUAAGUCGAACGUGAAAUCCCCGGGCUCAACCCGGGAACUGCGUCCGAUACUGGAAGGCUUGAAUCCGGGAGAGGGAUGCGGAAUUCCAGGUGUAGCGGUGAAAUGCGUAGAUAUCUGGAGGAACACCGGUGGCGAAGGCGGCAUCCUGGACCGGCAUUGACGCUGAGGCGCGAAAGCCAGGGGAGCAAACGGG